GGUUUCUUUAUAUAUUUAGGAGAUCUGGCCUGCCCACUGAAAAAUUUUUAAAGGGCCGCGGUAUUUUGACCGUGCGAAGGUAGCAUAAUCAUUAGUCUUUUAAUUGAAGGCUUGUAUGAAUGGUUAGAUGAGGUAAAUUCUGUUUUAUAUUUAUUAAAUUGAAUUUGGAUUUUAAGUAAAAAUACUUAAAUGUUAUUAAGGGACGAGAAGACCCUAUAGAGUUUAAUAAAUGUAUAAAUUAUUUGAGUUAAAAAUUAAUUUAGGUUAUUGUAAAGUUUAUUUAAUUGGGGUGAUUUAAAGAUAAGUGAAACUCUCUUUUUAAAUUUUAAUAUUAUAAUUAGUAAUAUGAUCCAUUAAUAAUGAUUAAAAGAUUAAAUUACCUUAGGGAUA
rnacentral:rRNA from 1 species